rnacentral:rRNA from 1 species
GCCAUAUGUUGAAACACAGGUUCCCUUAUGAUCACCAAAGUUAAGCAAUGUCAAGCCUGAUCAGUACCUAAAUGGGUGACUGCUUGGGAAUACCAGGUGCUGUAAG